AGAUGAGGAAAACUGAGGCCUGAAGAGACCAUGUGGCUUGUUCAGGGUCAUUCAGAUUCAUCAAAAAAUCAAAGAACUGCAUUGUGUCAAAGGAAGUAUGGAGCUGCCAUCUUGAAGGAACAUAAGCACUCUUUCAUCAUCAUCAGUCAUAAGAACUUAGAGGACUUUCAGAAGCUUCUACCCCCUUUGUGGUGUGAUGGAAAAGGCCCUAGAUUUGGAAUUUGAAGAGUUGAAUCUUAACUCUGAUACUUAUUAUAUAGGGACUGUUCAUUGGCUCCAUAUUGCACAGAGUACUGAGUCAGGAGCCAGGAAAACUUAAUUUCUUGAGUUCAAAUAUAGUCUUAGACCCUUAUUAGCUAUGUGACCCUGGGCAAAUCACCUAACCCAGUUAGUCAAAUGACCCAGAAGAAGGAAAUGGCAAACUAUAUUAUCUCUAAGAUCCUUUCUAGUUUUGAACUUUUGAUCCAGAAAACUAGAUGACUACAAAGAUUCUUCAUAAUUUUGUGUAUUAUUUAAUAUUUCAAGAAAUCCAAUACAAGUUUUCAGUUUUCUGGGCAAUAAUUUUUAGUGCAACUUUACCAUUAACUAUAUUCUAAGUUACCUCUAUCUUUGGGCAAAAUAUACUUUCAGAAAACCAGAACUGGGUUACCUGCUAGAUCAUGAGCUUUAUAGUCUUCCCACCUCAACUGAACCUAUGAAGUUUGGUUUUAUGGCAGCAAGUACAAUAUGCCUGCACCCAUUCCAAUUGGCCAUCAUCUAAAGUAGUGUGAUCCAAAUAAUCAGUCUAGAAUUUCUCCUUGAAUCAAGUCAGAUAAUAAUCAAAUAAACUGCUCAAAAUUG